GUGUUCGUUUCGGCAGCACAUACAGUAAAAUUGGAACGGUACAGAGAAGAUUAGCAUGGCCCCUGCACAAAGAUGACACAAAUUCGUGAAGCAUUCCAUAUUUUU
ensembl:snRNA U6 U6 spliceosomal RNA